UUGUUGUCCCAACCUGCUUCUUCCUCUUGUUGUGAAAGAAAUUGGAGCUCUUUCUCCAAUAUCCAAAGCAUAAAAAGGAAUAGAUUGCUUUCCAGUAGAGCCGAAGCCCUUGUGUACGUUCAUACCGAUUUGCGAAUGAUUUUCAAGAAGAAAGAGGAGUACAAAUCGGGGCCGUCAAGCUACUGGGAUGUGGGUGGAGAUGCUCUUCUCGUUGAUAAUGAGCAUAAUGAAGCAUUUGAGAAUCUAUUUCCGGAUGAUCCUAAUAUAGAAGCCACAUUCUUCAAGGAGGAAGAACAGGGUUGACCGUUGGAGGCUUGGACUUAUGAAGUGGAGAUGCUAGAGCAGUGAAGGAAGUUGGAGUAGGGAAGCUGCUUAUGCUAUUUUCUGAGUUUUAAUUCUAUAGUUUCUUUAUGUUUUUCUGUUGGAUUGAAUAUUUGGGAAUAUUAAAGUGUUGUACUCCAGAUGAUUGGAUUAUUUUGUGACUUUGAAGUGAUGUUUUGGAGUAAUAUGAUUGGAUUAUUUUGUGA